ACAUCCAGAGAACUUUCUAGAGAUAGAUUGGUGCCUUCGGGAACUUCUGAGACAGGUGCUGCAUGGCUGUCGUCAGCUCGUGUUUGUGAAAUGUUGGGUUAAGUCCCGUAACGAGCGCAACCCUUGUCCUUAUUUGCCAGCGAGUAAUGUCGGGAACUCUAAGGAGACUGCCGGUGACAAACCGGAGGAAGGUGGGGACGACGUCAAGUCAUCAUGGCCCUUACGUGUAGGGCUACACACGAGCUACAAUGGCAAGUACAGAGGGCUGCGAACCAGCGAUGGUAAGCUAAUCCCAGAAAACUUGUCGUAGUCCGGAUUGAAGUCUGCAACUCGACUUCAUGAAGUCGGAAUCGCUAGUAAUCGCGAAUCAGAAUGUCGCGGUGAAUACGUUCCCGGGCCUUGUACACACCGCCCGUCACACCAUGGGAGUGGGUUGCUCCAGAAGUGGUUAGUCUAACCUUCGGGGGGACGAUCACCACGGAGUGAUUCAUGACUGGGGUGAAGUCGUAACAAGGUAACC
rnacentral:rRNA from 1 species